rnacentral:rRNA from 1 species
GAUCAUGGCUCAGGAUGAACGCUGGCGGCGUGCCUAACACAUGCAAGUCGAGCGGGAUUUUCCGGAUUGAAGCUUCGGUAGAUUGAAGGAAAUGAGAGCGGCGGACGGGUGAGUAACGCGUGAGGAACCUGCCUUUCAGUGGGGGACAACAGUUGGAAACGACUGCUAAUACCGCAUAAUGUCAUCGAGCGGCAUCGCUUGAUGACCAAAGAUUUAUUGCUGAAAGAUGGCCUCGCGUCUGAUUAGCUAGAUGGCGGGGUAACGGCCCACCAUGGCGACGAUCAGUAGCCGGUCUGAGAGGAUGAACGGCCACAUUGGGACUGAGAUACGACCCAGACUCCUACGGGAGGCAGCAGUGGGGAAUAUUGGGCAAUGGGGGAAACCCUGACCCAGCAACGCCGCGUGAAGGAAGAAGGCCUUCGGGUUGUAAACUUCUUUUAGCAGGGACGAAGAACGUGACGGUACCUGCAGAAAAAGCAACGGCUGACUACGUG